GUUUAAGGACUAUAGUUUGGGAGGCUAUUCGAAUUGGUUGCAGAACAGGGUUAACAACACCAAGAAUUGGAACAACAUCAAGAGUUGCUUGAUGGAUAGCAAGGUUUGCCAAAGUCUUGUUAACCAAACUGGGAAUGAGAACGUACAACAGUUCUAUAAAACGAACUUGUCUCCAAUUCAGGUAUAAAAUAGUUACUCGUUACCCAAUUCGUCUCAUUCUGGAGUUCUGACUUCUGAGAGUUUUUUGUUUCAUUAAUUUCCCCUUUUUCUUUACUUUCGUUUAGUUUAUGCCAUAUUUUCUCUUAUUUUG